rnacentral:rRNA from 1 species
GACCAGACUCCUACGGGAGGCAGCAGUGGGGAAUAUUGCACAAUGGGGGAAACCCUGAUGCAGCGACGCCGCGUGAGCGAUGAAGUAUUUCGGUAUGUAAAGCUCUAUCAGCAGGGAAGAAGAUGACGGUACCUGACUAAGAAGCCCCGGCUAACUACGUGCCAGCAGCCGCGGUAAUACGUAGGGGGCAAGCGUUAUCCGGAUUCACUGGGUGUAAAGGGAGCGUAGACGGCGACGCAAGUCUGGAGUGAAAGCCCGGGGCCCAACCCCGGGACUGCUCUUGGAACUGCGCGGCUGGAGUGCAGGAGGGGCAGGCGGAAUUCCUGGUGUAGCGGUGAAAUGCGUAGAUAUCAGGAGGAACACCGGUGGCGAAGGCGGCCUGCUGGACUGCAACUGACGUUGAGGCCCGAAAGCGUGGGGAGCAAACAGGAUUAGAUACCCCCGUAU